AAUCAACCUGUUGUCACCAUAACCAAAUUGCAUGUGACACAGUGUAGCAGCAAUCCUUGCCAUUCAAUAGUGGAAAAUUGCAAGCACAUUUUAUUGAUUGGUUGAUUUGAUUCUUUAUUGAUUUAUCACAAUACAUGUGAUGGGAGGUGAAGGGAAAAGCCAUUCAAGGAUGGCUUGAGGGAGUCCUUUGCCCCCGUACUGGCAAAGACAGCAGCAGAGGCACAAGCAUUUUGUUUAGUACAUUGUCCUACACUUUGACAAACCAUCAUAUUAAACACAACACUGUCAUACAACUUUGACGAAACCACUAGUGAUUAAACAAAUCACUAGUUAUUGCCCUACACACAGCGCUAUGCAUUAUUAGCAUGCAUCACUUCACAUCAGCAUCAUACACCAGCACAACACUUCAUUACCAUGCCCGCAUUGUAAUAGUGGCAUUUAAGAAUAUCAUUAAAUACAAAUCAAUGACAGCUUUGAAAACCAAAGAGACCUCGUUCACAAAGUACGUCAGUUGGAAUAUGUCAUGACAAUACCACAGUCAUAGUGGCUGCAGUGGAACCUCAAGUUCUCUGCUUGAGGUCCGACUGCUGUAAACUAUUUGUAUUAGAUCAAAAAGGACCUGCUGAAUGUCAGCUGUAAACUACAGUCUAUGCCAGGGUUCUCGCAAGGGUGGAAAUGCCGCCCACCGCUCCGGGUUGACCGGUCAAUGUUUCCAAUUGUUUUUUUUUUUUGCUUUUUUUCGAUCUUCAGGUGUUUCUUUAUCCCGUGGAGAAAUAUUAGAAAGAAAAGUGAUGUACAGCUUAGACCACUUGUAAUACGACCGUUUACAGUGCAGAACCGACUACACCGCAGCCGACUCCCGUUUACGUCCCCAUAGAACUCCAUGCAUACCGUAGCUCAUAGUGUAGUGGGAAAAUCCUGCAGACAAGCACAGCAGCAAGCAUCCUUCUCAACAAGAUGCGCCGGCCGAUGGGAGGGGAGAGCGACGAGGGCGGCGCAGAGGAAAGGGAGACGCAGAGUGAACGAAUAAGGAAUGAAAAAAAAAAAAGAUACAGUGAUUGCCUAGGCAACGGAGAAGCCUUUGCUCGGCCACAGCCGUGCACGUUAACACGGCUUCAGUUUGUAUGCACCCGUCGCAAUGCGAGUCGUCAUGAAGUGCGGAUAUCGUGUGUGCAACCUUGACUGCUCUCAGCUUAAGUAGUGUUCCGCAAAUUUAGAUCAAAGUUUUUAGGCUUUAUGUUCAGAUGCCAACUUCCGCCAUUCCUACCAGUAAGCACACAUACAAACUUGGCACGCGUCCGCCUUAGUUGCCGCAGCUGAUCGUUCGAGAAACCAAACUCCGCUUCACACAUACUGCUGUCAGUUCAGCCCAUGCGUGUAAUCGCUAUGUAAUCGUCUACGGGUACGAAAAUAUCAAGGGCAAGGUUCCCGUGACGUCAUGCCGCCUGACACCCGCGCCGGCUAAGCCUAACCAUCACGCCUCGUCGGAAGUAUGCGACCAAAGUUUCAGUUUGGUGCCAAGUCAAUGAAACGCAUCGCGGUGGCUGUACAGCACUUGGAAAGUGGAGGAACCACUUUGAUAAUGAAAGUGAA
rnacentral:lncRNA from 1 species